UGGGGAAUAUUGCACAAUGGGCGCAAGCCUGAUGCAGCCAUGCCGCGUGUGUGAAGAAGGCCUUCGGGUUGUAAAGCACUUUCAGCGGGGAGGAAGGCGGUAAGGUUAAUAACCUUGGCGAUUGACGUUACCCGCAGAAGGAGCACCGGCUAACUCCGUGCCAGCAGCCGCGGUAAUACGGAGGGUGCAAGCGUUAAUCGGAAUUACUGGGCGUAAAGCGCACGCAGGCGGUCUGUCAAGUCGGAUGUGAAAUCCCCGGGCUCAACCUGGGAACUGCAUUCGAAACUGGCAGGCUAGAGUCUUGUAGAGGGGGGUAGAAUUCCAGGUGUAGCGGUGAAAUGCGUAGAGAUCUGGAGGAAUACCGGUGGCGCAGGCGGCCCCCUGGACAAAGCCUGACGCUCAGGUGCGAAAGCGUGGGGAGCAAACAGG
rnacentral:rRNA from 1 species